GUGGACACUCGGGUGGGCAGUUCAGGACCGUGUUCAAGGGGACGCCCCACCAGGACCAGGACUGAUUCCAGCCUCGCCCCAGGCGCCUUCAGCACUGCGGUCAGGAGCUCUGGGGCCCAUGGAUCUGGAGUGGAGGAUUCCAGAAACCGAGUUUCCCUGAAGGGAACUCAAGGAGGUUCUGUGGUGUUUCAUGUGACCAGACGUCCAGAAGUACCUCCUGAAGCCAAGCUGGAGAAGAUUUCUUGGGCCGUUAAAAACGAGUCAAACUACA